rnacentral:rRNA from 2 species
GGAUCUCUUGGUUCUCGCAUCGAUGAAGAACGCAGCGAAAUGCGAUAAGUAGUGUGAAUUGCAGAAUUCCGUGAAUCAUCGAAUCUUUGAACGCACAUUGCGCCC